rnacentral:sRNA from 1 species
AUGGCUGUCGUCAGCUCGUGUCGUGAGAUGUUGGGUUAAGUCCCGCAACGAGCGCAACCCUCGCCCUUAGUUGCUAGUCCGCAAGGACGCACUCUAGGGGGACUGCCACGGAUAACGUGGAGGAAGGUGAGGAUGACGUCAAGUCCUCAUGGCCUUUAUGUCCAGGGCUACACACGUGCUACAAUGGCCAGUACAAUCCGUCGCCAACCCGCAAGGGGGAGCCAAUCGGACAAAGCUGGCCUCAGUUCGGAUUGCAGUCUGCAACUCGGCUGCAUGAAGCUGGAAUCGCUAGUAAUGGCAGAUCAGCAUGCUGCCGUGAAUACGUUCCCGGGCCUUGUACACACCGCCCGUCACAUCACGAAAGUGGGUUGUACUAGAAGUCCCGAAUCUAACCGCAAGGAGGAUAGGGCCCAAGGUAUGACUCAUGAUUGGGGUGAAGUCGUAACAAGGUAGCCGUAGGAGAACCUGUGGCUGGAUCACCUCCUUUCUAAGAGAGAACGUGUCCUGACUCUGUUGGUGUAUAACAGGGAUGCUCAGGAUUACCCGUAGCAAACACCCUUACCCGGGUGGACUUUAGCAAGAGCAAUCUUGUAGGAGUUGCUGCGGUGCUCGCUCGACGCUCUCUGCCUUGGUUCUGAACUUUGGAACUGUUUUCGAGAGAUAGUCUUUAUGUUCAUCCCCGGCGUAGCUGGGGAGCAUGCUCAACCAGUCCUCACGGAAUACCCUAUGGGUUUUUUUCGGGGCUGUAGCUCAGCUGGGAGAGCGCUUGAUUUGCAUUCAAGAGGCCGUCGGUUCGAUCCCGAUCAGCUCCACCAGUGCAACUUGGGCGUGUAGCUCAGGUGGUUAGAGCGCGUCCCUGAUAAGGACGAGGUCGAUAGUUCAACUCUAUCCACGCCCACCAUUUAAACUACAGGUGUUAGGUGCCAGGUCUCCGACUUGGUUCCUAACCCCUGUCAUAGGGGGUUCCCCGCAGAUCGCUUGACGAUUUGCGGAUCUUUGAAAACUGAAUAUGGUAAGGGCACAUAAGCAAGUAAGCCGAUAGUAGUAAGAACAACAGCAGUACCUUGGAUAAAUCAACUUGGAGCCAUGAGUUCAGUGUUGUAGAGCUGAAUUCGUGUUUCGAGUAAAUCUUUUGGUCAAGCUACUAAGGGCGUACGGUGGAUGCCUUGGCGCCAGCAGGCGAAGAAGGACGUGGUAAGCUGCGAUAAGCUUCGGGGAGCCGCAAACAGGCUUUGAUCCGGAGAUUUCCGAAUGGGGAAACCCGG